CCAAGAUGAUGAUGAUUGUGAUGAUCUUGGAUGAUAAAUGAUGACGAUAAACAUCUCUGGUUGUGGCCGCUGAUCUCAAGCUGAUAUAUUCUUUUCGCCAUAGAUUUAUAUAUUUUUUUCCAAUAUUGAUCCUGAAUAUUCCUGAGUAUUGACCAUCAUUUGGAAUAUAAAAAAAAUCAACGCAAACAUUUAAAAAGAAUUAUGGAAUUUUUUUUUCACCACCAAUUCCAUCCAUAAAAUUCUCAUCUUCAUCACAAACCAAUAUUCGAUUCAAAUGGUUCAACAAAAUUGAUGGGAUUUAGAUCUUUCCAUUGAUUUUGUUGUGGUUUAAUAUCCUGCUGUGCAAAAGAAUUACCGUGCUUAUCAUUCAGAUAUUGAUGGUGAUGAUGAUGAUGAUGGAAGAGACCGGAUACGGUUAUCCAAAAUAUUUAUUAUCAACGAUAAUAUUUAUAUCAGAUCGGUUUUGGCUUUGAUCGUAUCCGUGAUAAAAAAAAAUGAUGACUAUGUGCUGAUAUAUUGACUUGACUUGAUUGUGGAACCCAGAUGGUCGUUUUGGAACAACAACUACAACAACCAAUGUCACCAUAUAGCCAUCAUCAUCAACGUCAACGUCAUCAUCAUCAUCAUCAUCGUAUAUCGUCAAUAUUAUAUUUCAUUUUCAAAUUCAGGUUUCGAACGUACAUACACACUAAUAACGACAACAUAUAGUGUGUGUGUGUGUGUGUGUGUGUGUGUGUGUGUGUUAGUUUGAUCCAAGCUGUCAAUUUUCAAGAUAUAUUGGAUUUUUUUUCUUCACUCACUCAUUCACUCAGUCCAUACAUAUAUAUAUCAUGUGCCAUUAUAUAAUUCAUAAUUUUUUUUUCUCUAUACGAUCAAGUGUCUGUCUGUGUAUUUUAUAUUAUGAAAAAAAACAACAACAACAACAAAAACCAUAACGAGAAGAUGAUGAUGAUGAAAACAAUAAUAA